rnacentral:rRNA from 1 species
GGAGGGUCCAAGCGUUGUCCGGAUUUAUUGGGUGUAAAGGGUGUGUAGGCGGGCUUGUAAGUCAGAGGUGAAAUCCUACGGCUCAACCGUAGAACUGCCUUUGAUACUGCAGGUCUUGAGUCCUGGAGAGGUUGUUAGAAUUCGUGGUGUAGCGGUGAAAUGCGUAGAUAUCACGAGGAAUACCGGUUACGAAGGUUGACAACUGGACAGGUACUGACGCUGAGGCACGAAAGCGUGGGGAGCAAACAGGAUUAGAGACCCUGGUAGUCCACGCCGUAAACGAUGAUCACUCGGUGUCGCGGAGUAAUCUGCGGUGCCUAAGCUAACGCAUUAAGUGAUCCACCUGGGGAGUACGAUCGCAAGGUUG